CGGGCGGGGCGGGGCAGAGCCGGCUGGGAACAUCAUGGCUACUCUGGCCAACGGGCUAGCGCAGCAACAACCUCCCCCCGGGCCCCCGCCCCCGCCGCCGCCGCCUCCUCCUCCGCCUCCGCCGCCGCAGGCGGAGAGCACUGCCUUCAGCACCACGAACAGCUCCGGGAGGAUGAACGGGCUGACGACGCCGACGCACGGCCCGGGCGGCACCAUCGCCAUGAAGGACCACGAUGCCAUCAAGCUCUUCAUCGGGCAGAUCCCGCGCAACCUGGAGGAGAGCGACCUCAAGCCGCUCUUCGAGGAGUUCGGCAAGAUCUACGAGCUCACCGUGCUCAAGGACCGCUUCACCGGCAUGCACAAAGGCUGUGCCUUUCUUACAUACUGUGCCCGGGAUUCAGCCCUCAAAGCCCAGAGUGCCCUGCAUGAGCAGAAGACAUUGCCUGGGAUGAACCGCCCAAUCCAAGUGAAGCCAGCAGACAGCGAGGGCCGAGGAGAAGACAGGAAGCUUUUUGUGGGCAUGCUGGGGAAGCAGCAGAGUGAGGAUGACGUCCGGCGACUCUUUGAGCCCUUUGGCCAGAUUGAAGAAUGCACCAUCCUCAGAGGCCCCGAUGGAGCCAGUAAAGGAUGUGCCUUUGUCAAAUAUGGGAGUCAUGCAGAGGCGCAAGCCGCUAUCAGUAGUCUCCACGGCAGUCAGACCAUGCCGGGAGCAUCGUCCAGCCUGGUGGUGAAGUUUGCUGACACAGACAAGGAGAGAACCCUUCGGCGGAUGCAUCAGAUGGCAGGACAGCUGGGGAUCUUCAAUCCAAUGACGAUCCAGUUUGGAGCCUACGGGGCAUAUACGCAAGCGAUAAUGCAGCAGCAGGCAGCUCUGAUGGCUGCAGCACAAGGAACUUGCCUCAACCCCAUGGCGGCCAUUGCGGCGGCACAGAUGCAACAGAUGGCGGCGUUUAACGUCAGCGGGUUGGUUGCUGCUCCCAUGACACCCUCAUCAGGUACAAGCACACCUCCGGGGAUCAGCACAGCACCUGUUCCCAGCAUAGCCACACCCAUCGGGGUGAAUGGAUUCAGCCCUCUCCCACCACAGACCAAUGGGCAGCCAGCAUCAGAAACUAUUUACACCAAUGGAAUCCAUCCAUACCCAGCUCAAAGUCCCACUGUGGCAGACCCCCUCCAACAAGCCUACGCAGGCAUGCAGCACUAUGCAGCAGCAUACCCAGCCGCCUAUGCACCAAUCAGCCAGGCCUUCCCCCAGCAAGCUCCCAUCAUCCCCCAGCAGCAGAGAGAAGGUCCCGAAGGCUGUAACCUCUUCAUUUAUCACCUGCCCCAGGAGUUUGGGGAUGCAGAACUUAUGCAGAUGUUCUUGCCUUUCGGCAACGUCAUCUCUGCCAAAGUCUUUGUUGACCGUGCCACCAACCAAAGUAAAUGCUUUGGUUUCGUCAGUUUUGACAAUCCAACUAGUGCUCAGGCAGCCAUUCAGGCCAUGAACGGCUUCCAGAUCGGCAUGAAGAGGCUAAAGGUCCAACUAAAGCGGCCAAAAGAUGCUAACAGACCCUACUGACCCGUGUUCACCUUGGCCCUGAAAGCAGACCAGGCCAAUCAUAGCUCCAAGGAUGACCCCACAGUUGCCUAGCAACCCUCUAGCUGUUAUGGGAGACUCAAACAAAAACUCUCCCUCCCAAAUUAUCUGAAACUAUGGGAUGCCAUGCGGCGUACGAAGAGUAUUCCCCUUGUCCCACGUGCAGUAUCCAGACUUGUAACUCUCUUUCUUUGCAACAUAUCACGGAGGAGGAGGAGGAGGAGGUGGAAGAGGAAGCAGGAUGCUCGUGAAAAAGAGGAGAGCCAGUUUGGUUGUACCUUUUUUAUUUUUAUUUUAUUUUCCAAAUCGGUUGGGGUUUCGGGGGGGGUGUUUCUUUUCCUUUUUCCUUUUGCCGCUUUAAGGCGAGAGAAAGCAAAGAAGGUGGUUGUGACGAUAUUGGACAAAAGGGAAAGAGGCGUCGCUAUUUGCCGACUCUAAACUCCAUGAGGGGAAGGAGCCGCUGGAGAAGACGUGUGUUUUUUAAGACCCCUCACGAGGAGAGGGGUAGGAUUUUGCAACAGGAAAAGGUCGCAGGCACAGAGCCUGCCUGGUGGGACCAGCCUCUCUCUAAAGCACUUGACCGAUGCUCAAGAUUUCAGAAGAGGGAGGCCAAACAGAUCUAAACCAAAGCCGGUGGGUUUGGACCAGGCCUGUAUGUUACACCUGGGAAACGCUUUUUGUUUUUAAAAAGGGGGAAAGAAAAAAAGGGGAACUUUUUUUUUCCGCAUCCGUUUGGGAAAAGAAAAAUCAGUUGCUAAGAGGAUGUUGAACUUAACAGAAGAUAUAUAUAUAAAUAGGUCUAUAUAUCUAUAUCCCGUGGAUUGGGGGUGGGGGUUUCUGUCCCACUUUGUCACCAGUCCAAGGAGAUUGGAUUAACUUCUUUCAAAGUCAUAUCAUUCCUUAGAGUUUAGGGACCAAAGGACUAUUGCUUUUUUAAUAUAUAUAUAAAUUAAUUAAUUUAAAAAACAAAACAAAACAAAAAAAAGAAACUCAAAGAGGUUUAAAAAAACUUAAAAAAAAAAAGCUUCAUGUCAAAGCUGCAAGUUGUUUCCAAGAGAAGCGAGCUCAAGCAAGCAAGCAAGCAAGCAGAUGUCGCCUCGUGAGCAGUGUGGCCAGUGCUGGUGGCCUUGUGACCGCAUUGAACACUAUGGGGUUCGGGUGAGUAGUGAAGCUGGCAGGAGGGGCCACUUUGGCCAGGGUGGGGGGUCUUGGCAGCAGCUCUCUCCUCCUCCUCUCUCCAGAUAGGCACUUGGAUUUCAGAAAAUUGGGGGGUUGUAAUCACAGUCCCUGAUCUGUUUCUCCCAUGCAUUGAAAGCUAAUGUAAACCAGAGCAAGAAGAGACACAGGACCAUAUUUUUGUGCAUGAGAAGCUGCCUUGCGCCAAGGCAGAUCAUCGGUGCGACUAAUUCAGUAUUGCCUACACCAGGGGUGGACUCCAGCUGCCGUCAGCCCCAGCCAUCAUGAUCAGUGGCUAGGGAUAAUGGGAGUUGGAGUCCAGCAGCAUCUGGAAUGCUACCGGUUUCCCACCCAUGCUUAGAUGGCUGUGUAGAGGAGCUGCAACGUCUCUCCACACUUGGAUGAUGCUUUUAUUAGGACCACCCAAAGUAUCACAAAAUGUUGGGCCAGCUCUUAGUAGGCUGAACAUCUAGCAAAGCAGAGGAACGGAGAAAGUUUGGCUUAUGGUAGCCUGAAAGUCUUCAUUUGGUGUUAAAAUAGAGGUGCAUUAGGAAGUUGCAGGCAUAACUGGAUGAGGCUUGGCGAAGGUGUUAUGCAGGUUUCACAGUGCGCCCAGGACUGAUAGGACAAAGAAAUGACCAAGGCUGGGUCAUGGGCAGGUCUGGAGCAUGACAGCAGCCAGGAACUGGGGGUGGUGUUCAAUACUAGUCCUGUUCAGAGUAGAUACACCAAAGUUAAUAGACAUGACUAAUUUAGGUUCCUUGAUUCCAAUGGGCCUACUCUUAGUAAGAGUUUGAGCCAGAUUGAAAGAGCUAUCCAGAUCAGAGGGCAAACCAGAGGUAGGACCAAAGAAUAAGGCUGGAAAUGCAAAAGCCACCAGAGGUUGGGUACACCUUGUUGCCCCACAGUGACAGGAAGUGCUCUUAAACUCCUUCCUGCCCAGGAGGAGCCAUUGACCAGCCUAAUUGGUGGGGUCAGUCCACAGCCUGGAAAAUUCUUUACUGAGAGGCUGCAAUUAUGCAUGUCACCACAUGGGACAGCAGUCAGCAAUUGUUGGCAGAAACACAGUGGCGCAUGAGCUCAUGCACGCACACACAAAUUUUUAAAAAAGAACCUAAUAAAGGACGUAACCCUAACAUUAGGCAAAACACACUGGUUCCUUCUUAGAGCGCAAAAGUAAAGAGGAAUAUGGCUAGAGGUUGAUUUCAGGUGGAAUGCUAGGUUUUUAAAAAUGUCAAAAGAAGUCAAAGUGGGUUACAUUAUCUGGUGGUUAGAGGGAAUGUGUAACCCUUGAAAAGUAAAGUGCCAUCUCCAGGUGGUAAAAAAUAAUAUUCCUUCAGUUUUAGGGUCCCACUUCUGAAUGGUUAAAUUUGGUUAUCCAAGUCACACAUAAAGCAAGAAGAAGUCCAUAAGAAAAGAAAUCUGAACUCCACAGUCAGGCAGCAAUACCAUUCUUAGCCCUUGCAUAUUUCAUGGUCUUAGUAGUCCUUAGUUGCACCCUGAAGCCUGCAUAGCACCUAGUCAAGCCUAAUGGACUUGGUGUCUGCAACUUCCUCCUACAUUCAAUCUUAAGACUGUACAUAAAUGCAGAGUGAUCACAACGUGCUAGAUUUCCCCCCCACUUCCUCUCCCCACUUUGCUCAACAUCCAGCCUGACAAAGAGCUUUAGAAAACUCAAAAGCUUACUCACUGUUUUGUGGCAUUUUGGCCUGUCCCAGUAGAGGUAUUUCCUGACUGUGGGGUUAUUCUAAUGCACCAACAUGGCUUCCUUUUCUUAAAGUGUAUCCUGGAGAAUUCCCUCCCUGUCUGGGAUAAGACCCAGAACUCUUUCAGUCAGAGAGCUCCAAGGAUGGAGACAGUGGAGUCCUUCAAAACUCCCCAGGAGAUAUCAUCCAAAGCAUUGACACCAGUAGAAGCUUUCAUGGAGGAAGAGCCCCAUCAGACAGUGGGGCUGGCACGCCUUGCUUCAAGGGAUGUAGCUCUGCUCCCCUUAUCUGACUCAGAUAUCUGACUCCACUACCUGCAGCUCCAGAGGGGCUGUCAUGGGAGCAUAGGAAACUGCCUUAUAUUGAGUCAGACCCAUUGAUUCAACUAGCUCCGUAUUGUCUGAGCCGAAUGACAAUGGCUCUCUGGGGCUUCAAACAGGGGACAUUCCCAGGACAUCCCUGGGGGGUGCCAGGGGUUGAACCUGGGAUCAUCUGCAUGCAAAGUAGGUGCUCUGCCACUGAGGUACCACGCCCUUCACCCUGCCAUGUCCAGAAGCCAGGGGAGGCACUCCAAUCUCGCCUGAGUGCACACCUGUAUAUUAGAAUACUUUAACUACCAAGCAGGCUGGCUUCAGGGAAGCCACGCCACACAAUUAAGCUUCAGCCAGCUCCAGACCAAGGAUGAAGCAAUAUUCCUAGUUCUUGCAAGAACUAUUCUGCUCCACAGGGAGCUCUCUGUGGUCCUGAAGCUCAACCAUCUACUACUGAACCCCUCCUUGAGCUCUAGCCUUGAACCUGCUCACUCUGUGAGCAGGUGCUGUUUGCAGAUCACAUGGGAUGGGCAGGUGGGUGAAUUAUUCCCUUUGUAGGAAAUUUUUCUCUGUGUGUCUCUCAUUGCCCUGGUGUAACCUUAGCCAAAUUCUCUAUUACUUUCAAGAAUCUGCUGGGGAAGAGGAGGAGGUCGGGGGGAGGGGGUCAGGUUUAAGGAAGUGCCAAAUAGAGUGAGCGAAAUGUCACGGUACAUGAAGGACCUGGGGUUGUCUCAUUGUCCUUCGUGGUUCACAUUCCCUAAUGCGGUCGCUUGGCCACUGGACGACUUCUUUUUCUUUCUUCUCUUCUUUAUUUUUAUUUUUUUAUUCUUUCUUUCUUUUUCUUAAGAAAAAAUGUGCUUCAUUGUUACAUUUCCUAGUGGUUUAGAACAGAAUGCUUUUUGUAGAGCGGUUAGCGUUUAACAUAGGAGAGCCCUCCAUUUGAAACAAAUGAAACCUAAAAAGAAAAAGGGGAAAAAAGACAAUCGACUUUA